AAAGUUGAAUGCAGCCUAUUGUUUUUUCGUAUGAAAAGGCGAGUACUUUUCUGGAACGUCUUCAUAUGUUUGCCAAAUGCAGAACUGUCAUGCACAUACAAACCUAUUCUAAAAGCCUGCUGCUUCAAUCACAUUUAAUGAGUAGUUUAUUUCCCCCUUUUUUUUGCCUUUUACUUAAGAUUUAUGUGUAUACGUUUGAAAUGACAUGCAUACAAUGAAGUUGUGAUUCAUUUACAACUGUCCAGUUGUCUGGUUUACCAACUCGAGAUAUCAGUUGUUACAGAAAUGGUCAGGAAAGAGUCAGAGACGUUGCAGUAUGCACAUCAUGACGUGUAAGCUCUUGUCACAAUUUACAGUGUGAAAUGUAGAUGACGGUUGUAAUCGUAAAAAGUGGGACCCCAUAUAGAAGGUUUGUAAAAUGCUUUACUAGGUAUUUCCAUCUUUUACACUUUCAGGACCACAAACAAACUUGUUGCCGCGGACCUACGGCCCUCCCUCUGAAAAUAGAUGUGCAAAAUGAUCCUUUUGUUUUACAAGAUACAGUUUAAAAGCUAUAUUUUUAAAUAAAAAAUUCUGAAUGUACUGUAAUCUGUAGGCCUGUUUUGAGAGACGGCCCUCAAAAUGUCUUCCAGUCAACUGACUUCCAGAGGCCUGAAGGUUAAUGUGACUUUAUGAAUCCCUGUGGGUAAAUUCCUCUGCCUUUUGUCCAUCCCCUACUAGGAACCUUCCUAGACCUUAGGAGCAGUGAGCAGCCACUCGACAGCGCCUGGCGACCAACUCCAGAUGAAAUGUCGCCAGCAUUACCAGAACACAGGAGAAACCAGGACAUGCAACAUGCAAACUCGACACAGAGAGAUCCUGGGACCUUCAACGUGCCGGCCAUUUCAUUCAAAGCUAACCGAUGUGGCUGAAAACAACCAGCUUGCAUCUGGCCCUAUUCUUCCUCUCGUCCCGCUCCUUUGAUAUGGAAGCAGCUCUCUUUUUCUUCCUCCUCUUGUUCUGUUGUCAUACCAGAAGAUUAUUUUUGGACGGAGCAAAUGAGGUUCAGGACCCUGAGGGUCAGCGACGGACACAGAUGGCAGCGCUGAGAUCAUCGUCUCGCUCUACAUCACUGUCCUGCUCUUGACCCUGGGUGGACCUCCAUCUCAUCAGAUAUUAGCUCCUCCUCAUUGUUCAGAUCCAUCACAAUAAAGCUGCUGCUGCACACAGAGGUGAGUUUGACUCCGAGUAUGGCUGUGACAGCUGAAGCUUUUUAAAUACAGCUUUUAUCUACAAAUGAAAUGUUUUCAAUGUUUUACUGAGCCAUUGAAACUCAUUCAUUUAGAACUCAUGAAGGAGGCAACUGUGUGUGUG